UAGAGCACCGACUUCCAGAAUAUUGGGUAAUGGUUCUUUCCAGUGGUGUCUGAGAUUUCGCACAGCGAUUCCCAUCUAUUGACCCAUCUCUUCAGCAAGAAGGUCACCGGUGAAAGCAGUGUUGGGAGCAACGAAGUCGCUAGGUGCGAGGGACGGGCCGUCUCUCAUUGGGAUCUGAGCUGCUUGUCACCAAUGCAGUGCUUGAGUAGUGAGGUUGUGAACAUAAUUGCUACUUACCUGUUUGAUAGGGGAUCCGAC